rnacentral:sRNA from 1 species
UGAACCUGCGGAAGGAUCAUUACCGAGUGCGGGCCCUCUGGGUCCAACCUCCCAUCCGUGUCUAUUGUACCCUGNUUGCUUCGGCGGGCCCGCCUCCCCCUUCCCGGGGGGAGGCCGCCGGGGGGCCUUCUCUGCGCCCCCGGGCCCGCGCCCGCCGGAGACUUACAUCUCGAACGCUGUCUGAAGGUUGCAGUCUGAGUUUUGAUUAAAACAAUCGUUAAAACUUUCAACAACGGAUCUCUUGGUUCCGGCAUCGAUGAAGAACGCAGCGAAAUGCGAUAAGUAAUGUGAAUUGCAGAAUUCAGUGAAUCAUCGAGUCUUUGAACGCACAUUGCGCCCCCUGGUAUUCCGGGGGGCAUGCCUGUCCGAGCGUCAUUGCUACCCUCAAGCAACGGCUUGUGUGUUGGGCCACCGUCCCGGUGUCUUUGGGCACUGGGACGGGCCCGAAAGGCAGCGGCGGCAUCCGUGUCCGGUCCUCGAGCGUAUGGGGCUCUGUCACCCGCUCCUGUAGGUCCGGCCGGCUGGCCAGCCUCGCACCCAACCUUUUUUAAAC